rnacentral:rRNA from 1 species
GGUGGCAAGCGUUAUCCGGAUUUAUUGGGUUUAAAGGGUGCGUAGGCGGAUUGAUAAGUUAGAGGUGAAAUGUCCGAGCUCAACUCGGGAACUGCCUCUAAUACUGUUGAUCUAGAGAGUAGAUGCGGUAGGCGGAAUGUAUGGUGUAGCGGUGAAAUGCUUAGAGAUCAUACAGAACACCGAUUGCGAAGGCAGCUUACCAAUCUAUAUCUGACGUUGAGGCACGAAAGCGUGGGUAGCAAAC